UUUCUCCAUCGGUUUUCACUUGAAAGCAUACUUUGCAGAUGUUAUGUACAGAUAUCGGAACCAUCGAAAAGGUUUUAAUUAUCCCAUAAAGUAUUCAGAUAUCAUACCGGCUAAUAGAUUCCAUAGAUUUUCUCCUGCUCUUUGAAGAUACCCGCGUAGGAUCGUUUGUAGCGGAGCGUCACGCCGUCAAGCAAGGAUCGAUUAGCGGCAGAGCUAUACGAGAUCUUUUGCUGAAAGAUUUAUCAGAUGACUCG
rnacentral:misc_RNA from 1 species